GACUCCUUCGGGAGACCAGUCCCCUGUCCUCACCCUCACUCCGUGAAGAGAUCCACCCACGACCUCGGGUCCUCAGACCAACCAGCCCAAGGAACAUCUCACCGAUUUUAAAUCGGAUCUCCUCGGCUUAGCAGCUGAAGACUGAUGCUGCCCGAUCGCCUUGGAGGCCUCCUGGACCGUCACGGACGCUGAGCUUUGGGUCAAUCUUACAGUAGAGGACAGGAAUAUCAGGCCUUUGAGCCCAAGCUAAGCCAUCAUAUCCUCUGUGACCUACGUGUAUACAUCCAGAUGGCCUGAAGCAACUAAAGAUCCACAAAAGAAGUGAAAACAGCCUUAACUGAUGACAUUCCACCAUUGUGAUUUGUUCCUGCCCUACCCUAACUGAAAAGAUACAUUCUCCC